GGUUGUGGUUCAGUGGUAAAGCGCUUGCCUACCCUGUGUGAGGUCCUGGGUUCAAUUCUCAGCACCA
rnacentral:tRNA from 1 species